rnacentral:rRNA from 1 species
ACGAACGCUGGCGGCGUGCUUAACACCUGCAAGUCGAACGGAAAGGCUCCAGCUUGCUGGAGUACUCGAGUGGCGAACGGGUGAGUAACACGUGGGUAAUCUGCCCUGCACUCUGGGAUAAGCCUGGGAAACUGGGUCUAAUACUGGAUAUGACCUUUCUCCUUAUGGGGUUUGGUGGAAAGUUUUUCGGUGUAGGAUGAGCCCGCGGCCUAUCAGCUUGUUGGUGGGGUGAUGGCCUACCAAGGCGACGACGGGUAGCCGGCCUGAGAGGGUGAUCGGCCACAUUGGGACUGAGAUACGGCCCAGACUCCUACGGGAGGCAGCAGUGGGGAAUAUUGCACAAUGGGCGGAAGCCUGAUGCAGCGACGCCGCGUGAGGGAUGACGGCCUUCGGGUUGUAAACCUCUUUCAGCAGGGACGAAGCGUAAGUGACGGUACCUGCAGAAGAAGCACCGGCUAACUAUGUG